rnacentral:lncRNA from 1 species
CGUCUCAAAAUAAAUAAAUAAAUAAAAAAUAAAAGAGAAAACAAAUAAACAAAUCCUAGCUUUACUGAAUCUAAAGUUGUGUGCUGAAUUUAGAUUUAGCCAAAAUGAAGGGCUGUGAGCAGAGAGUGACAGGUGAAGGCCACUGGAACAAUUCAUUGUGAAUAACUAAAAAGCACUUUGCAAGCAAAGCCUUCUAUAGGGGCCUAAUCAUGCUAAAAGAGUUGGAAACAUUUGGUGGCAUACAAAUGUCAAGGCAAAAACAAGAAACUAUAGAUUUUGCUGCAUAAGAAAACAUGUUUCCUCAUGAUGCCAGGACAAUUGUCAGUUUUUAUUAUUAAAGGAUACUCCAUGGUAGAAUAAGGAGUGUAGAAACAGUUGGUAAGACCAAGAAUAUUGAAAGGGAUUUUCAUUCAUUCAUUCACUCAGCAUAUAUUUAUUGAGCUCCUUCCAUGAGCUAUGCACUGGGUGGGAGAUAGUAAUUAAGGUGUGUGCAAUCCUUGCCCUCAUGAAGCUCACUGUCUCGUGGGGAUUCAGAAAAGAAAUGAUAGUCAGAAGUUCUAAUCCUAGUAGUGUGAGCAAACAACUUCCUGUGUCUCAAUUUUUACAUCUGAAAAUUGGGGACAAUAUCCACCUCCAGGGUUCACUCAAAAAGUAAGUGAGAAUAUUCAUAUAAAGUUCUUAGCCCUGUGCCUGAGAACAUUGAGAUCUUUAUGAUAAUAGGGAACUCCUAUUGCAAAUGCAUUUUCUUUUUAAAAGCUAGAUCUUUGUAUAAUUAAUCAUCAGAGGAAUUGUUGUUUACUAUAGGAAUUGUUGUUACUAUUGUUGUAUAUUUUUUUAUUAUAUAUAAAAAAAUAAUAAAUUAUCCAUUGCAAUAGCACCACACACAAUUAUAGCUUCAUGAUGCCCAAGAGGCAUUAUGGUAGGCUUAAAAAAUAUGAAAGGAGGGGAGCUGGGUUCUAAUCUUGGUUGUGCUACCAUUGACCUGUGAAAUCUUGGAAAAGUCACAGCUUUAUGUGUGUCAGUUUCUCCCCUGAUAAAAUGUGUUGGUGAUUAUACUUGUAUUUGUGGACUAUUGCAAU